CGUGAGGGAAAGGUGAAAAGAACCCCGGGAGGGGAGUGAAAGAGAACCUGAAACCCUGCGUUUACAAGCAGAAGGAGAACAAUUAAAGUUCGACUUCGUACUUUUUGUAGAACGGACCGGCGAGUUACGUUAUGCAGCGAGGUUAAGAUCUUCAGGAUCGGAGCCGAAGCGAGAGCGAGUCUGAACAGGGCGAUGCAGUUGCAUGACGUAGACCCGAAACCGGGCGACCUAUCCAUGGGCAGGUUGAAGUGAAGGUAAAGCUUCAUGGAGGACCGAACCAGACGUCCGCUGAAAAGGGCGGGGAUGACCUGUGGAUAGGGGAGAAAUUCCAAUCGAACCCGGAUAUAGCUGGUUCUCCUCGAAAUAGCUUUAGGGCUAGCCUUAAGUUAGUCUGCUGAAGGUAGAGCACUGAAUGAGCUAGGGGGUUUCAAAGCUUACCGAACUCUAUCAAACUUCGAAUGACAGACAGAUGAUGCUUAGGAGUCAGACGGCGAGUUAUAAGAUCCGUCGUCAAAAGGGAAACAGCCCAGAUCGACAGCUAAGGUCCCCAAGUGCGUGUUAAGUGGAAAAGGAUGUGCAGUUGCAUAGACAACCAGGAUGUUGGCUUAGAAGCAGCCACUCAUUCAAAGAGUGCGUAAUAGCUCACUGGUCGAGUGAAUGUGCGCCGAAAAUAUACCGGGGCUAAACGUGAUACCGAAGUCUGGGGAUCAAGAAAUUGAUCGGUAGGGGAGCAACGCAUACGGACAGAAGCAGAAGCGGGAGCGACUGUGGACUGUAUGGGAGAGAGAAUGCCGGCAUGAGUAGCGAGAGCAAAGUGAGAAUCUUUGCCGUCGAAAGCCUAAGGUUUCCUGAGGAAGGCUCGUCCUCUCAGGGUAAGUCGGGACCUAAGCCGAGGACAACAGUCGUAGGCGAUGGAUAACAGGUUGAUAUUCCUGUACCGUACUUAAGCGUUUGACUGAAGCAGUGACACAGAAGGAUAGACAGACCGGGGGAAUGGUAGACUCCGGCCAAGCAGUGAGGCUGACAUGUAGUGAAGUACGCAUGUUAAGGCUGGGCUGUGAUGGGGACUGAAGAUUAGUAAGGAAGCUGUUGAAUUCACACUGGCGAGAAAAGCUGCUAAGGAGCGAGAGUAUGCCCGUACCGCAAACCGACACAGGUAGGCGAGGAGAGAAUCCUAAGACGAGCGGGAGAACCCUUGUUAAGGAACUCGGCAAAAUGACUCCGUAACUUAGGGAGAAGGAGUGCCUCGAGAGAGGCCGCAGAGAAUAGGCCCAAGCGACUGUUUACCAAAAACACAGGUCUGUGCGAAGUAGAGAUACGACGUAUACGGGCUGACGCCUGCCCAGUGCCGGAAGGUUAAGGGGAAGUGUUAGGGCAACCGAAGCACGGAACUUAAGCCCCGGUGAACGGCGGCCGUAACUAUAACGGUCCUAAGGUAGCGAAAUUCCUUGUCGGGUAAG
rnacentral:rRNA from 1 species